AUAUAGUUAACUUCUUGUCCGAAUUGCAUCCUGCAAGUAUUAGACACAAAACCCUAGAAAACACUGUUAGCACAAAAACAAAAAUAAACGACAAAAAAUACAAAUUAAAAAUAAAAAUAUAAAUAAGAAAAAAAAAUAAAGUCAAAGUUAAUCAAGAAUCACACAAAAAGAAUAACUUAAACCAUGAGUAGCCGGCAACGACGCCAAAAACUUGUUUCUUGGAUCGGCAAGUGUACCAGUCGCACAAGUAAAAUAACAUGGUAAGACCAAGUAUCGUAUCCUAGAAGACUCUCGGCGCUAGACAGUCGUGUGAUAACAAGAUUAAUUAAGACAUAGAAAAACGAGAUAAUUGGUUUCAGAUGCUGUCGCAACCAGAAUCGCGACGGGACGACGACCCAAAAAGAAAACAUGGAUUUGAAAAGAGAUUUGGAGUCGCCACCAUAGUUUAUUUUGGUAAACUACGGAAAAACCAUAAAAAGGAUAAGGCUUAGUCUAUGAAAACCGGAUUCUGGUUUCGGGAGUCGGUGUCGUGUAGGGAAGGUAUUAGCACCCUAUAACGCCUACCCUAAGGCAGUACCUUUAAUUAAAUGAGCAAACUUGAUGUAGUUUUUCAAAAUGUUUAAUUAUCCCUGAAAAUAAAAUUCUAAAGAAACGAAAAUAUUUUUUUUUAUUUUUUGUGCCCGACAAGGAUUGACCUUGCUCCUACGUAUUCUCAAAAUAAGAAAUCAGGAUUAUGUAGUUCUAGAAAAUCGUUUGGGAAAUUUGUUUGAGGAAUUUGUUUUGGACAAGAUUUGGAUUUUUUUGGGAAAAUGAAGAAUAAGAGAAAGGUUUUCAACGCAAGGCUGACGCGAAUGGUCGCACGUGUGCUUAAACCCUUUGAAAUAAUUUUUGUAAUUUUAAAAGAAUAAGAAAAAAGUUUUCAACACAAGGCUGACGCGAAUGGUCGCACGUAUGCUUAAACCUUUUGAAAUCAUUUUUGCUUAACUUUAAAAGAAUAAGGAAAAAAUGUUUUCAAACAAGGCUGACGCGAAUGGUCGCACGUGUGCCUAAACCCUUUGAAAUAAUUUUUGUUUAAUUUUAAAAUAAAUAAGAAAAAGGUUUUCAAGACAAGGCUGACGCGAAUGGUCGCACGUGUGCUUAAACCCUUUGAAAUCAUUUUUGUUUAAUUUUAAAAGAAAUAAGAAAAAAGUUUUCAACACAAGGCUGACGCGAAACCCUUUGAAAUAAUUCUGAUUAAUUUUUUAAAAAAAUAAGAAAAAGGCUUUCAACACAAGGCUGACGGGAAUGGUCGCACAUGUGCUUAAACCCUUUAAAAUAAUUUUUGUUUAAUUUUAAAAAAAUAAGAAAGAUGCUUUCAACACAAGGCUGACGCGAAUGGUCGCACGUGUGCUUAAACCCUUUGAAAUAAUUUUUGUUUAUUAUUAUUUUAUAUAUUUUUUUUAUCUUUCAUUUUUAUUAAUUUUUAUUUAUAAUAUCAAAAUAAUGUUUUCAUGUAAAUAUUCAAAACAACGUAACUAUUUUUAAGGAAAGAUUAAAAGGUAGAAAAUAAAUUACAGCUUAUAAAAAAAUAAUAAUUAAGUAUUAAAAGAAACACUAAAAAAAUCAAUUUUUAUAAUUUUUAAAUUUACCCAUUUUUUGCCUAAGAAAGAAAAACAAUAUUUAAGAGAAAUAAAAUAAAACAAGAACAAUAUUGAAACCGGAAUUUAGUCAUUAAAAGAAAGAUAGCAUCAGAAGCUCUAGCACUAUUUUUUAAAUUUCAGCCCAUUUUUUAAAAAAAAAUACUUUUUAUUGAACAUUUGUUGUUUCUUUCAAAAAUUGAGAAUGCAGCAAAAAAUAAAACAAAGCGAUAAUAAAGACUAAAAGAAACAAAAUACAACAGCAAUAAAUAAAACAAAACAAUCAGUAAGAAAAGGAGUGAUAUAAGAACCAGGAUGAGUGCAACAAGAAGCCCUUCUCUUUCUGUUCCUUUACGUUCUCUUUUCNAAAUUGGAUUUUUUUCCUCCUUUUUUCUGUUCCCUUAUGCUCUCUUCCCGAAGUUCAAUUCUCUUCUUUUUUUUCUUGUUUACCAGGUGCAUAUUUAUAUACACACAUUUGUAAUAUUAUUGUGAUAUUGCAUUAACUGCGAAUUAAUUGUCAAUUAGCAAAAUAGGGAAAUAGAUGGUCUUGAUUGAAUAAAAAUAAAUCAAAUCAUAUUUUUCUCUUCAGGAAGAAAUUGAAUACAACAAUCAAUAUAUUAUUUUUAAUUAUUUCUUGUAAUCAUUGCCAUAAUGUUGAUUCAAAUUAUUACCAAAUAAAACAAAAUUUCAAAAAUAUUUUAAAGUGAUCUGCAUUAAUAUUAAUUGCUAAUGGGCAUUUUUCCAAGAAAAUCAAAUCCAAUUCAUCUCGUGUAGCACCUCUCCCGUUUUAUUCACGUGCACCCCCUUUUUUUUCUCUUUUUUUUUCUUCCUUUCUUUUUUUGUUUUUCUUUUAUUUUACUUUUAUUUUUUCUUUUUUUCUUUUUUUUUUGUUUUCUCGUUUUUUUUCUUUUUUCUCUUUUAUGCUUUUUUCUUUUUUUUUUCUUUUUGUUUGCAAUUAUUUUUCUUUUCUUCUUUUUUCUUUCAUUUUUUUUACAAGACUAAACAAAAUAGCAAAAUAAAAUUAAGAAUAACAAAAUAAAAAAAUGAAUCAAGUCCUAUUAUUUAGUCACCUGGACGAAAUUGGGUGUUGACAGAUGCAAAAACAGAAAAUUAAAUAUGAAUGCAAGUUUGAUAAAUAGCAGAACAAAACAUAACAGAGAUGAACAAAUGUUGUUUAAUAUGAGAUGAGUAUGUUGUUGGGGGUUAGAUUUCACCAAGUUUCCUCUCAUGUAUAUAAGAAUUCUUCUUUAUACAUUAAUAUUAACGUCACUCACUAAAUCACCUAAACCCGAUCUCUCGGCGAAUAAGCCUGUCCCAAAUUACCAGUUCAUGCAAUUCCUAGCAUUCCUAGUAAUUAGAUGUGAAGAUUAAGAGCUUUAAGAAGACCAAGACUCAAACCCUCAUCCUUGAGAAAUAUUACCCUUGAGAGUAAUUUAAACAAGAACCUGAAUUGUAAGGAACCUCUCGACACUCAUGCAAUUCAUAAAUCAUGCUAAUGAAUGAAUUAAACACAGCAAGCGUUGAAGCAGAUGAAUUACUCUAACAAUUAAUGAAAAAGCAUAUAUUAUUAAGAAUCAAUUCAAAUACAUGAGAGUUCACAAGGUUACAUCAUCCCCCAACAAUAAUUAGGGUUUAGUUCCCCAUAGACAUUGAGGAACUAAAUGAAGAAUGAAGAAGAAUGAGAUAGAAAAACCCUAAAAAUUGGGAAUGGAAGCUCCCGCAUCCAAAUCCGCCUCCAGAAGGUGAGAGAAUGUGCAGUUGCACUCCUUCUGCCAAAAAUACAAAACCCAGAGCACUUGGGUCCUUUAAAUAAAGCGAAAAACAGAACAGAACGAAGUUCGGCCCAUGACGCUGGCACUCAAGCGCCCCAUUUAGGGCGCUCGGGCGGUUAGUGCGGCUCUUCCUGAUGCUCAAGCCUCCAAAAUGGUGCCCAAGCUUCGUGGACUCAAUGCUUAAGCGCCCCAAAGGGGCGCUCGGGCGGUGGAUGACAUUCUUCAGCGCUUAAGCCCCCUAAAAGGGCGCUUAAGCUUCGUGUUUCCCUCCCUUCUGGUGCUUUUCUAGGCCUUUCUAAGCUCCUUCUUCUUAACACUUCACCUCUGCUUUCCAUAUUAAUCUCAUUUCCUGCCAAAACAAGGGGAUUUAGUCAUUAUUUCAUCAAACUCAACCUCAACUCUCUUAUUCACACAACUUAAUAGAAAAUCAUGAUUUCAAGCAAGUUCUAAGUAGAAAAGGGUGCAUUUAGUCUCAAAAUUACAUCAUAGAUAACAAUAUUUUUAACCUUUAUCAAUCACCCAACAACAACAACAACAACAACAACAAUAACAACAACAACAACACUCACAACAAGAGGAUGCCCCUACAGAUGAUCCUAUCGCACAUCGUAUGAGCACCAAAGGCUCAUGCUUUACUGCAGAUCGUACUGAUUGCAAUAUUUAGUAUGAGUUUUUGGUUGAUGAGGAUCCUCCACGCGUAGUGGUCGUGGGACGACAGAUUGCACGAGGCCAAAUCAUUCAUGGUACUCCUUUAUUGCCCACUAACUCGCGAGUAAGGAUUAAUGAUGCGACACUUCAUCUGGAAUAUCAUGUCAAAGUCUAGGAGCAAGACUCGAUUGGUCUUCAUCGGCAGUAGGAAUAAUGUAUGGAUGGGAUAUCCUCCUAAACCACAGAAGGUUGUUGAGAUUGUUAACAACACAAUUUCUAUAUCAAUGUAGCUUUUGAUGAUGACAACACAUUGCUUAGUAACAAGCAUAAGUUGUUUGUUGUUAUUACAUGUUCUUAUGCAAAUUGAUUGUUAUAUCUGUGAACAUGAUUUUGUGUUGUGUUACAUGUUCCUAUGUUGAUUGAUUGAUAUAUAUGUGUGGAACGUGUUCAUACGCUUUAUAUGCUGUGUGCAAUGCAUCAUUACAAAGGUUUUACUGCACAUAUUUCAAAUCUGAAAACCACAAGCACUUUUAUGAACUUAUGUGACAAAGUUCUAUUGCAGUCAACUACAUUAUUAAGGAUUCGACUAUGCUAAAAUCUUUGUGUAGAUUUUGAGAAUCAGUGCUCUGUGAAUUUUUGAGAAGAAAAGAAUUUCAAAAUGUUUUCAUGGUUGAAGUCGACUAUGUGCGCCACACAUUCGAUUGUAUCUGUUAUCUGGUUUAAAAUUUUGUUACGCUCUUGCUCCCUAACAACUAUAUUUUUAAAAGUUAGUUGAGCAUUGAUGACUUGGUCAACUGUAUUAAAUGUGUUUUGUUUUUUGUUGACUGUACGCUACCUGGUUAACUAUUUAUUAUAACUGUCAUAAUUAAGUAAACUGGUAGCAUAAUCGACUGAGAGUCUGUAUGAAUAACAGAAAUCCACAAAUAGACUAAUCAUGAAUCAGUUAGAAGACUUUUGAUGAACUGACAAUUUUCAUUUCUGUUUCAGAUUUCUCUUAGCUCCAAGAAUUCUCCAAGAAGACGGUGGUGAUCUUUCUUGAACGAGAUUCAAAGGGGAGAUUUUCUACGUUUACAUUUGUUGAUCAUUAUCUGCACAAGAAGGUCUCUGUGUUUGAUCAUUCUGAGGCUUGGCAUCCUUGAAGAUUGCUGAAUUAUUUGUGCGGCUUGGCAUCCGUGAAGACUGUUGGAUUUGGACCUGUUGAUUGCAGGGGAUAGUGCACUUUGAGGAUUGUUCAAAGUGGUGUUUGACAGAUUACAGAAGAGGGGAUUCUUGCUGCAAGUCUUGCUGGUUUAUUGCAGCUAUAUUUUGGUUUUGGGUUAGAGAAGAGAUUUAUAUUUUUGACGUGGAGAUCUUCUAUAAAUUCCUUGUUGUAAAAACCGCAACCAUUAUAGUGCAUUUGCUUCUUGGGUGGAAGGAUACUGGAUGUAGACAUUGUUGGCCAAACCAGUAUAAAAACCUGUGAUUGAUUUUCUCUAUCCCUUCUCUUUUACAUUCCAAUCGACUCUAUAUUUCAAGCAGUCAACUAUGUUUUUCCGCUGCAUACAUAUUCUGAUUGCUUGCAUUUCAAGAAAGUUCAAAAAGUUUUAUACUUUGCAUUCAAGAUUGCGCAAAGAAGUUAUUUCUGAAAUAACAUCAAUUCAGCCCCCCUCUUGGUGUAAAAUCAAAACCAACUUGUUUCCCAACAAAGGUAACCAUCAACACAGUCAGAUGGGAAUCUGUUGAUGAACACACCCCUAAUAACAUGAUACUAAAAGGGCAAUCAGGCAUCAUUAAUGGCCACUAUGUCUGCAUCUGCAACAACGAGUGGGUCUCAAGGGAUGGACUACUGAAACCGAAACUACCUCAAAACAUGCUCACGCAAAUAUCGACAUAGCGUGUCACCAAUCCUAAUCCAUCCCAAGAAUAUACAAAUGUCGUAUAAAGGACGAGUCAUCUGAUGUGAUUCAUAAGGGGACCAGACGACUGAAUCGCAUGUCAGGGCAUCUAAGUGUACCCUAACCUCUACGAAGGUGGAACCCUGCCCACCGACCAACACGCGGUCUUUCUUCCUCAUACGGAGACACCAUACACUUCUUCCUAGUGUAGGGAAGUGCUCAUAUAUCCAACUUUACAAAGUAAAAAUUAUAAAAUUAUUCAUAAUCCACAUCGAAACAAUUCAAACAAAUCGAAGUGCAAACUAAAUGUGCACUUGAAAAAAAGUCAAAUAGCCUGCCAUUUGCUUGGUCGAAGCCAAGUUGACAUCUCCUAGCUGCUCAUACAUAUAUAUGCUAGUGCAUAAAUGCCCCAAGCAUAUCGGCCACAUGCGUGUACAACUUUGAAGAGAAAAAGCUAAGACACGCGAAUGGAUGUAGCAGUCUUGUCAGGAAAUAUAGCGAAUCCAACUAGAUGUAACAAAUAUGUUCAGGCAACAUACUCCAAUUGCUACUCCUUAUAGUGCUCAACGUAAAUGUCUUGAAGCCAACUCAAUCUGACUUUCACACCAUGAGCUGGAUGUAACUCAACAUCAUCUCUGUUGCCAUCCACGCCUAAAAGCUCGACAAUGGCAUGUCCACUUUCUUCAAGGUCCAUUUCUUCCAAAUUAAAAAGCUAUCCUAUGGGAGGUACAGCAAGGGUGACAUGUCAUCUAAAGUCACCGACAUCUCACCCACGAGGAGAUGGAAACUUUUGGUCUCGAAAUGAAAUCUCUCCACAAAUGCCAACAGUAAACCCCUAUCGACGUAGUCAUAUGAGAUGCCGACUAGAGACAUCAUACUGGAACCAUACACGAUGUCUUUAAUGCCCUCGACGUAGGAUCCUAGUUUGUUUGACUUCUCGACGUCUUCUGCGAGCAGAAGUAAUAAGUCUCCUCCUCGCACCUUGUGAGGAACUCUCUCCAUAAUGUGAAGAUACACCUCAAAUACGAGCCAUAUCUAUUCAAUUUUUUUUUUAUUAGCAAGAAUACACAAAAAAAUAACCAAAUCAAAUAAUUAUACAAUUAUAAAAAUACAAUUAUACUAUUACAAAAUCAUAAUAACUUCAAAUAAAAUAAAAUUCACUAAUAAAAAAAAUAAAGUCAUUAAAAAAUAUUUUUUUUUUAAUUCAAAUCAAAUUAACUAAUUCAUUAAUAUACUUAUGUCAUUAUAAAAUUAAUUAAUAUAUUAUUACAAACAAACAAAAAAACUAAAAUUCCUAAAAAAUUAUAAAAAUUUUAAAUAAUUAUUAAAUAAUUAUAAACAAAAAAAUUAUUUUAAAUUUAAUUUAAUUAAUUCAAAGUUUAAUAUAAUUAUAAUUUCAUUAUAUUUCAUUAAAAAAUUUAACAAAAUAUCUUCAAAUUAUAAAAUCUUCAAAAGCUAUUAAAAAAAAUCAAACAUUCAAUUCUAUAAAAUUAUAUAAAUUUUAAAUAAUUACAAACAAUUCAUUUUAAUUCAUAAAAGUUUCAUUCAUUAAAAUAUUUAAAUAAUUAUAAAUUAGUAAUAUUUCAUUAAAAAAAGUAACAAAAUAUCUUAAAAUUAUAAAAAUUAAAAAAACUAUAAAAUAAAUUAAACAUUAAAUAAUUGAAAACAAUAAAGUUUAAUCAAUUUAAUUAAUUCAUUAAUAUAUUAUUACAAAUUAAAAACAAUAAAUAUUAUAAAAUUCAAAAAAUUUAUAAUUAAUAUUAAAUAUUUACAAACUAAAUUUUUUUUAAUUCAAAUUAAAUAUAAUUAAUGCAAAUAUGAAUAUAUAAUAAAGUAUUAAAAAACAAUUAAAUUCUAUUAAAAAUAAACAAACUAUAAAAGAAAACAAAACAUAAAAUAAAAAUGCUAAAAUAAAAUUAAAAACGAAAAAAAAAGACUUCUCCCUGCACCUCAGUGCCUUCAUCCUGCACCUCCUUGUUAUUUUUACAUUUCCAAAUUAAAAAAGUUGAUUUCUAGUCAACAUGCAUUGAUAACGUGAACACUCCAACCCUUUCUCCACUCACUCUUCGCAUUUCACAUUUCAUUUUUUAAAAACCUACACCCCGUACUUCCUUCCUUCCCUCUGUGUCGCAUCACUCCUCACCCUGUAUACCCCACUUUUGUUUCUCCUCUUUUCCUCCUCUCCUCUUUGUUUUUUCUUUUGGUGUUGCUCUGUAGUGUUGCUGUUUGGCUGCAUUGUGUCGAGGUUCUUGAAGCUGCCUCCAGAUUAGAUAUUAUUUGCUUUUUUUAGUCUACUCAUAUUGUUUUGUUAUAUGUUGUCACUAGUGUGUGGGAUUGAUGUUUUGUUAUAUGUUGUUAUUGCUGUUUGGGAUCGAUUUAGGGUUGGGGUUGGGAUCGAUUUAGGGUUGGGGUUGGGAUCGAUUUGGGGUUGGUUGGGAUCGAUUUGGGGUUGGAGUUGGUUGAUCUGGGUUCAAAUCUGGGAUAGAGGAACUGCACUUGGUCUUGCAGUUGAGGGACGCCACACUUGAGAGGUGUGGUUGUUGCUGUUUGCAGAACGGCACUUGGUCAAACAAUUGAGUUGAGCCGCACUUAGGAGGUGCGGCUGUUGUUUGCCGAAUUUGUGAGGUGCGACAGAGAAGGGGGAGGUACGCUGGUGCUCGCCGCACUUGACGAAAUGUGUUGUUGAGUUGCGGUUGGCUGUGAGGUGCAGUAAAGAGUUUUUAGGGUUUUCUUUUAUUGUUUUUAUUUAUGAAAAGUUAUAUUAUUAUAUUAAAGUAAUUUUUUUAAUAUUUUAUAAUUUUUUUUGUUUUCGUAGUAUGUUUUGUUUAUUAUUAUUUGUUUGUUAUUUUUUUUAAUUUCUUUUUUUAUAAUUUUAAAUUUUGUAUAUAUUAUGUAUUAUGUAUAUUUUUUCUGUUUACUUUGAUUUUAUUUGUUUUUGAAUUUGUUGUUAAUAUACAAUUUUUAUGAAAUUAUUAUUUUGAUUAUUUAAUAAGUAUUUUGCCUAAUUUUUUUUUUUAACUUUCUUAAUUUAUUUUAAUAUGUUUAUUGUUUUUGUUAUAAUUUAUAAUUAUUUAAGUAUUAUUUAUUAAGUAUUUUUUGUUGUUAAUUUUUAAUCCUUUAUUAAUUAUUUAUUAUUGUUUUAUGUCCUCUCACUUCAAACCAAUCUUACAGUAAAAUGAAGAAAAUGGUAGUGAAGUGAACUGAGGGAGCGAGGAAUGCAUGUUAGGAUCUAUAAUCGAACAAAAAUAUUAGAUUGUUGGUAGUUAGGAAUAUUUGUUAGUGGUUAAAUAUGAUUAAGUAAUUAUUAAUUAAGUUUUAAAUUUAUUAAAUGAAGGGUAAAGUGAAGGGUGCAUGUUAAGAUUUAUAAAUAAAAAUAUUGGGUUGUUGAUAGUUAGGAAUAUUUGUUAAUGGUUAAAUAUCAUUAACUAAACUUUAUUAAAUGAAGGAUAGAAUGAUAAAAUUGGAAAUACGAAAAGAAGGAGGGGAAGAAGGAGGGCAGGUGCAGGAGCAUCACUAAAAAAAUGUGUGGACUCUCUAAACACGAUAGGACGUCGAAAAUCAAGACAGCCUACAUCAGAUGUCGAUGUUUGAUGAAGCCUGUAUCAGUUUUCAACAUUCAAUGCCUAUCGCGUUUCAGAUUCGGUGCAGAGCAAACCACCCAUAGAUCAAGCACUCAUAUUAAAGAUCAAGUUAUUCAUACAUAUUCUAAUCAUCCAAUCUACAAACAUGCUACAAACAAGCAAAAUAAAUUUAAAAAACCAUGAAGCAACCUUUGAGCAACGAAGAAUGGAGGAAAAAUUGAAGAAGAAGACGAAGAACUCUUGUGUGUCUGGAUGUGCCUCUAUGACUGGGAAAGAGACCAAAGGCAAGAACAAACUGAAAUGGAAAAAUAAGAAGCUGUUAGUGUGCCCGAAAAAAGAAAUCCGAGAAGAAGAGGAAGCUGUUGAGGAAGUUGUUUCUACCUGACUCUGCUUCAAAUAAAAAAAUAAGCUUUUGUGCAUGGUGCCUGUGCUGCAAAAACAAGGAGAAAGGAAAUCCAAGAGCAAAGCUUAUGUGUGUGCUGUGAAGCGUGUGUGCUGUGAAGCUUGUGUGCGUGUUGUGCUGUGUGAGAAAGAAGAGCAAAUGAAAGCUUGUGUGCAUGUUGUGAUGUGUGAGAAAGGAGAGCAAAAGGAAAUGUGAGUGUUGUGCUGCCAAUGCGAUGCCAAUGCCUAAAAUCUGAAUCUGACAGUUGAAGAAUCUUUG
rnacentral:lncRNA from 1 species